rnacentral:rRNA from 1 species
UACGAAGGGGGGCUAGCGUUGUUCGGAAUCACUGGGCGUAAAGCGCACGUAGGCGGAUCUUUAAGUCAGGGGUGAAAUCCCGAGGCUCAACCUCGGAACUGCCUUUGAUACUGGGGAUCUCGAGUCCGGGAGAGGUGAGUGGAACUGCGAGUGUAGAGGUGAAAUUCGUAGAUAUUCGCAAGAACACCAGUGGCGAAGGCGGCUCACUGGCCCGGUACUGACGCUGAGGUGCGAAAGCGUGGGGGAGCAAACAGG